AGCGAACGCUGGCGGCAGGCCUAACACAUGCAAGUCGAACGAACCCUUCGGGGUUAGUGGCGGACGGGUGAGUAACACGUGGGAACGUGCCUUUAGGUUCGGAAUAACUCAGGGAAACUUGUGCUAAUACCGAAUGUGCCCUUCGGGGGAAAGAUUUAUCGCCUUUAGAGCGGCCCGCGUCUGAUUAGCUAGUUGGUGAGGUAAAGGCUCACCAAGGCUACGAUCAGUAGCUGGUCUGAGAGGAUGACCAGCCACAUUGGGACUGAGACACGGCCCAAACUCCUACGGGAGGCAGCAGUGGGGAAUCUUGCGCAAUGGGCGAAAGCCUGACGCAGCCAUGCCGCGUGGAUGAUGAAGGUCUUAGGAUUGUAAAAUUCUUUCACCGGGGACGUUAAUGACGGUACCCGGAGAAGAAGCCCCGGCUAACUUCGUGCCAGCAGCCGCCGUAAUAC
rnacentral:rRNA from 1 species